GCUCUUUGAAAGAAAUUUGAUAAGGAGUCGGGUCUGCCCGGUGAAUUAAUUUUUAAACGGCUGCAACGAGAGUUGUGCUAAGGUAGCGCGAUAAUUAGUCUCUUAAUUGGAGAAUGGUAUGAAUGAUUUGACGCGGAUUUUCUGUCUUUAAAAAAUAGAUUGAAGUUUCCUUUUAAGUGAAAAGGCUUAAAUUUUUGUAAAAGACGAGAAGACCCUGUCGAGCUUAAUUAAAACCUUUUAUUAUUAUUGGUUAAAAUUUUUGUUGGGGCAACAUAGACUAAAACAGCAGUUUAAUAUUAAAUCUAGAGCCUUUUAGAGAGAAAUUAGCAAAAGUUACCGCAGGGAUAACAGCGUUAUCCUUCUUGAGAGAUCGAAUUGAGGGAAGGGUUUGCGACCUCGAUGUUGGAUUAUGGAAACUUUAUGGUGCAGCAGCUGUAAUGGUGAAACUGUUCGUUUUUUAAAUCCGU
rnacentral:rRNA from 1 species